rnacentral:misc_RNA from 1 species
UUUCCGUAGGUGAACCUGCGGAAGGAUCAUCAUAAAGUUUUAACUAAUAUCAAGGACUCUGUGAGGGGCAACCUUUGCAGAUUCUCCUUGUUAUUUAACCAAUGUGAAUUGGGGGAAGUAUAUUGAAGGACGCAAGUCUUGACUAUAUAUUGAACUCAUUUUUUCUCUUGAUGCAAAGACCAAUGUGUGUCAAAGCACAUAUGUUUUAGUGUCUUGAGAGAUAUUAACUAUUAAAAGAGUCGGAUAAAAAACAAAAAAUUAAAAACAACUUUUAACAAUGGAUCUCUUGGCUCUU